rnacentral:rRNA from 1 species
ACGUCAAGUCCUCAUGGCCCUUACAUCCUGGGCCACACACGUGCUACAAUGGGUCGCACAGAGGGAAGCCAGGCGGCGACGCCGAGCGGAUCCCGAAAGCGCCUCCCAGUUCGGAUAGGAGUCUGCAACCCGACUCCUUGAAGCCGGAAUCGCUAGUAAUCGCGGAUCAGCAUGCCGCGGUGAAUACGUUCCCGGGCCUU